CAGUCGCCACGGUAAUACGAAGGGUGCAAGCGUUAAUCGGAAUUACUGGGCGUAAAGCGUGCGUAGGCGGUUUGUUAAGUCUGCUGCGAAAUCCCCGGGCUCAACCUGGGAAUGGCAGUGGAUACUGGCUCGCUAGAGUGUGUCAGAGGAUGGUGGAAUUCCCGGUGUAGCGGUGAAAUGCGUAGGGAUCGGGAGGAACAUCAGUGGCGAAGGCGGCCAUCUGGGACAACACUGACGCUGAGGCACGAAAGCGUGGGGAGCAAACAGGAUUAGAUACCCGCGUAGUCCCUGUCUCUUAUAC
rnacentral:rRNA from 1 species